rnacentral:rRNA from 1 species
UGUGUCGCCUUCCUCCCACGACUACGCUAUGACUCCUACGGGAGGCAGCAGUGGGGAAUAUUGCACAAUGGGGGAAACCCUGAUGCAGCCAUGCCGCGUGUGUGAAGAAGGCCUUCGGGUUGUAAAGCACUUUCAGUAGGGAGGAAGGUAGUGUAGUUAACACCUGCAUUAUUUGACGUUACCUACAGAAGAAGCACCGGCUAACUCCGUGCCAGCAGCCGCGGUAAUACGGAGGGUGCGAGCGUUAAUCGGAAUUACUGGGCGUAAAGCGCAUGCAGGCGGCCUGUUAAGUCAGAUGUGAAAGCCCCGGGGCUUAAACCUCGGAAUUGCAUUUGAAACUGGCAGGCUAGAGUCUUGUAGAGGGGGUAGAAUUUCAGGUGUAGCGGUGAAAUGCGUAGAGAUCUGAAGGAAUACCAGUGGCGAAGGCGGCCCCCUGGACAAAGACUGACGCUCAGAUGCGAAAGCGUGGGGAGCAAACAGGAUUAGAUACCCUGGUAG